CAGGGAAUCUUGCACAAUGGGCGAAAGCCUGAUGCAGCGACGCCGCGUGGGGGAUGAAGGCCUUAGGGUCGUAAACCCCUUUCAGCAGGGACGAAAAUGACGGUACCUGCAGAAGAAGCCCCGGCCAACUACGUGCCAGCAGCCGCGGUAAGACAGAGGGUGCAAGCGUUAUUCGAAAUUACUGGGCGUAAAGAGCGUGUAGGCGGCUGACCAAGUCCGGUGUGAAAGCCCGGGGCUUACCCCCGGAAGUGCGCUGGAAACUGGUCGACUAGAGUAUGGGAGAGGGAAGUGGAAUUCCUGGUGUAGCGGUGAAAUGCGUAGAUAUCAGGAGGAACACCGGCGGCGAAGGCGGCUUCCUGGACCAAUACUGACGCUGAGACGCGAAAGCCAGGGGAGCAAACGGGAUUAGAUACCCACGUAGUCCCUGAGCGGGCUGGCAAGGCGCAU
rnacentral:rRNA from 1 species